UUGAAAGGGAAACGAUUGAAGUCAGUCGUACCGACGAGUAAUCAACUUUUUGAGUGUGAUUUUGUGGCUCAUGUAGAGCUUAACGGCCUUCGUGUUUGCAAAUUCGUUCUCUUGGGGUGCAUUUAUUCGUAUGGUAGGUUAACAUCAAUUUUGAUCGUUAUAAAAUGAUUGGGGGAAUGUAGCUUCGAUCUUGUAUUGAAGUGUUAUAGCCCCUGGUAGAUGUAAUGAUCGGGAUUGAGGAUUGCAACGGAUACCCUUCGGGCUAUUCGUCUGAUCUCUGGAAGUUACCUUGGUGUUGAAAGCUUGCUUACGACAUUUAGGUUGGCGUCCAAAGGGUUAGAACGAAAUUAAAUUCGUUAAGGAUGUUGACGUAAUGGCUUCAAACGACCCGUCUUGAAACACGGACCA
rnacentral:rRNA from 1 species